GGAGAAGUCUGGAGACGACGUUCA
rnacentral:piRNA from 1 species